rnacentral:sRNA from 1 species
AUUUUGAAAGUGACCCUGGGCUGGGGCGCCGGGGCGAGCGCGGCGGCGCGGAACCAUGACAGAAGAUGACCGAGGCGGCGCUGGUGGAGGGCCAGGUCAAGCUGCGGGACGGCAAGAAGGUCGGGGCGCGUCGGGGGCGCGGGGGGGCGCGGGCGCGGGCGGCGGCUCACGCUCCCCCCUGUCCCCGCAGUGGAAGAGUAGGUGGCUGGUGCUGCGCAAGCCAUCGCCCGUGGCAGGGGCUGGCGUCUUCUUCCUGUCCUCGGCCGAGGGGGAGCAGAUCAGCUUCCUGUUCGACUGCAUCGUCCGAGGCAUCUCCCCCACCAAGGGCCCCUUUGGGCUGCGGCCGGUUCUCCCAGACCCAAGUCCCCCGGGACCCUCUACCGUGGAGGAGCGUGUGGCCCAGGAAGCCCUGGAAGCCCUGCAGCUGGAGAAGCGGCUGAGCCUCCUCUCACACGCGGGCAGGCCGGGCAGUGGAGGGGAUGACCGCAGCCUGUCCAGCUCAUCCUCGGAGGCCAGUCACUUGGACGUCAGCGCCAGCAGCCGGCUCACCGCAUGGCCAGAGCAAUCCUCGUCAUCGGCCAGCACGUCGCAGGAGGGGCCUAGACC